GAGCCUCCUCACACCGAGUUCAGUGUCCAGAUCUGCCGGACUGAACAGCCUCCAGCGUCGAGAUCAGACAAGACUUGGCACGUGUGAAGAGCUGGACACGUGCCGUCGAGAUGAAGAUUAUUCUGGUGCUGUUGGUUUGCGGUGCGCUGCUGUUCAGCACGUUCCCCGUGAAUGCCAAACGCUUACAACUGGGUAACCCAGGUUCGAUUCUUGCAGCGGUCAGAUUUAGGUGCUCGCCAGGCUUCGUGAACAUAUUUGGAAGAUGCGUGCGCAACAUUUCGAAGCCGGUUAGAUCCGGUGGUCCUGUCCCGUGGCUUUUUUUCUGACCGAGUCCGCCACCAACACACCUCCGGUGCUGAGCAAACCUUGGGCCAAGCGACAAACACCGCUGAUCACGAGCGAUGCUUGUUUUGGGUUGGGGGAUGCAAUGAGCUUCUGCAACAAACAUGCAGAGACACAGCUCCCGCUGAUGAACGUUGGCUGCCGCAGCGUCACCGCACCAGCGACUUGAUGACUUGUGACUGUUAUUGUGCUGUGUGCGAUCUUGAUCAUCUGAGACUGUAAUUACAAUCAGCGCGCGGUGCUGCUACGUGCUUCCUGUAUUGCAACGGAGCUUGAUUUGCUGCGAAUAUCCGAUUUGCUAUGACCUUUGCCGUGACAUUUGUUCGAUCGUGCUUCUUCCUUCCCUGGGAAUAAAACAUGUGCUUGGGCACCGAGGAAAAGAUCCCAGGAUCCCCUCAGCAUUAAACGCUACGGAAUCCUGGAUCCCCUUGUGAUUCAUACACAUGUUUUCCUGGAAUGCUUCCCGUCGCCGAAUGAUUGUCCGGUUUGUCCGGCUAUCACGACUCACGUAAUGCGGUCGAAUUGCUCCGUAAGUUCUGGAAGGCGGCGGCCUGCGCUCUUGUUCAGCUCUCGGCUAAGAUGCCAUGCCAUGAUGAUGCCAUGCUAUAGAUAAGGCAUCUUACGGCAUAAGAUGCCAUGCGUCGCUUCAUGCAGCAGGCUUCCGUUCCUUUUAGAUUGCCUGACGACGGGAUGACCUUGCUGCCAUGCACGCGCUGUUGUUUGCUCGGUUCUGAAUACAAGCUUCGUUAGCC
rnacentral:lncRNA from 1 species